rnacentral:rRNA from 1 species
UACGGGGGGGGCAAGCGUUGUUCGGAAUUACUGGGCGUAAAGGGCUCGUAGGUGGCCAACUAAGUCGGACGUGAAAUCCCUCGGCUUAACCGGGGAACUGCGUCCGAUACUGGUUGGCUUGAGUUUGGGAGAGGGAUGCGGAAUUCCAGGUGUAGCGGUGAAAUGCGUAGAUAUGACAUAGAACACCGAUAGCGAAGGCAGCUUACUACAGGAUGAUUGACGCUGAGGCACGAAAGCGUGGGGAGCAAACAGG